CCUACGGGAGGCUGCAGUGAGGAAUAUUGGUCAAUGGGCGAGAGCCUGAACCAGCCAAGUCGCGUGAGGGAGUACUGCCCUAUGGGUUGUAAACCUCUUUUGUCGGGGAGCAAAAGCCGGACGUGUCCGGCUGUGAGAGUACCCGAAGAAAAAGCAUCGGCUAACUCCGUGCCAGCAGCCGCGGUAAUACGGAGGAUGCGAGCGUUAUCCGGAUUUAUUGGGUUAAAAGGGGGCGCAGGCGGAUUUUUAAGUCAGCGGUAAAAUCGUGGGGCUCAACCCCAUCCAGCCGUUGAAACUGGGGAUCUAGAGUGUGCGAGAGGUAUGCGGAAUGCGUGGUGUAGCGGUGAAAUGCAUAGAUAUCACGCAGAACCCCGAUUGCGAAGGCAGCAUACCGGUGCACAACUGACGCUCAGGCACGAAAGCGUGGGUAUCGAACAGGAUUAGAUACCCCUGUAGUC
rnacentral:rRNA from 1 species